GCGUUACCCGCUGAACUUAAGCAUAUCAAUAAGCGGAGGAAAAGAAACUAACAAGGAUUCCCCUAGUAACUGCGAGUGAAGCGGGAAAAGCUCAAAUUUAAAAUCUGGUGGCCUCUGGUCACCCGAGUUGUAAUUUAGAGAAGCGUCUUCCGCGCUGGACCAUGCACAAGUCUCCUGGAAUGGAGCCUCAUAGAGGGUGAGAAUCCCGUCUUUGGCAUGGAUGCACCAGGGCUUUCGUGAUGCGCUCUCAAAGAGUCGAGUUGUUUGGGAAUGCAGCUCAAAAUGGGUGGUGAACUCCAUCUAAAGCUAAAUAUAGGCGAGAGACCGAUAGCGAACAAGUACCGUGAGGGAAAGAUGAAAAGCACUUUGGAAAGAGAGUGAAACAGUACGUGAAAUUGUUGAAAGGGAAACGCUUGAAGUCAGUCGCGUCGACCGAGACUCAGCCUCGCCUUGGCUUGGUGUACUUCUCGGCCGACGGGUCAGCGUCAAUUUUGCCCCUCGGAUAAUGGCGAGGGAAAGGUGGCACCUUUAUAGGUGUGUUAUAGUCUCUUGUCGCAUGCGAGGGUCGGGAUUGAGGAACUCAGCACGCACCUCUCGGUGUCGGGGCUUCGGCCCACGCUACGUGCUUAGGAUGCUGGCGUAAUGGCUUUAAACGACCCGUCUUGAAACACGGACCAAGGAGUCUAACAUGCCCGCGAGUGUUCGGGUGGAAAACCCGUGCGCGUAAUGAAAGUAAAAGUUGGGACCUCUGUCGUGGGGGGCACCGACGCCCGGACCAGACCUUCUGUGACGGAUCUGCGGUAGAGCGUGCAUGUUGGGACCCGAAAGAUGGUGAACUAUGCCUGAAUAGGGUGAAGCCAGAGGAAACUCUGGUGGAGGCUCGKAGCGAUUCUGACGUGCAAAUCGAUCGUCAAAUUUGGGUAUAGGGGCCGAAAGACUAAUCCGAACCAUCUUUGUAGUUGGU
rnacentral:rRNA from 1 species